rnacentral:lncRNA from 10 species
CUUACCCACAUCCUCUUCUCAGGGCCAGUGGUACUCAGGGGAAUCCCCUUGUCAGGAGAUUGCAUCCUCCCUCCUCACCCCAGUGGCAGAGAAGGAAGGCAACCAGAGGCAAAUGAUUGACAUGGGAGCAUGAGGUGGACUUUUGCCCUCCUGCAGAAAGUCUGCAUGGUUUCAGUCCAGACUGAAUCUACUGAGCAACAGAAGAGACACAUUGCUCAGCAGGUAGGAAGACAGAUGUGUGCUUUUCAGCACAGAAGGAAACAGCAUGAAAACAAACAAGCGAGCAAGG